rnacentral:rRNA from 1 species
UACAGAGGAGCCAAGCGUUGUCCGGAUUGACUGGGCGUAAAGCGCACGCAGGCGGACGCGCGCGUGGGGUGUGAAAUCUGGCCGCUUAACGGCCAGGCGCCAUCCCAUACGGCGCGUCUGGAGUGAUGCAGAGGUCGAUGGAAUUGCCGGUGUAGUGGUGAAAUGCGUAGAGAUCGGCAGGAACACCCAGGGGGAAACCAGUCGACUGGGCAUCUACUGACGCUGAGGGACGAAAGCUAGGGGAGCGAAUGGG